UUCACCUUUAUUCAACCAGGUCGGCUAGUUGAGAACACCUUUAUUCAACCAGGUCGGCUAGUUGAGAACACCUUUAUUCAACCAGGUCGGCUAGUUGAGAACACCUUUAUUCAACCAGGUCGGCUAGUUGAGAACACCUUUAUUCAACCAGGUCGGCUAGUUGAGAACACCUUUAUUCAACCAGGUCGGCUAGUUGAGAACACCUUUAUUCAACCAGGUCGGCUAGUUGAGAACACCUUUAUUCAACCAGGUCGGCUAGUUGAGAACACCUUUAUUCAACCAGGUCGGCUAGUUGAGAACACCUUUAUUCAACCAGGUCGGCUAGUUGAGAACACCUUUAUUCAACCAGGUCGGCUAGUUGAGAACACCUUUAUUCAACCAGGUCGGCUAGUUGAGAACACCUUUAUUCAACCAGGUCGGCUAGUUGAGAACACCUUUAUUCAACCAGGUCGGCUAGUUGAGAACACCUUUAUUCAACCAGGUCGGCUAGUUGAGAACACCUUUAUUCAACCAGGUCGGCUAGUUGAGAACACCUUUAUUCAACCAGGUCGGCUAGUUGAGAACACCUUUAUUCAACCAGGUCGGCUAGUUGAGAACACCUUUAUUCAACCAGGUCGGCUAGUUGAGAACAAGUUCUCCUUUACAACUGCGACAUGGCCAAGAUAAAGCAAAACAGUGCAACACAAACAACAACACAGAGUUAUACAUGGAAUAAACAAACAU